GACAACAGGGAUUGCCCUAGUAACGGCGAGUGAAGCGGCAACAGCUCAAAUUUGAAAUCUGGCCUUCGGGUCCGAGUUGUAAUUUGUAGAGGAUGCUUUUGGCGCGGUGCCUUUCGAGUUCCCUGGAACGGGACGCCUUAGAGGGUGAGAGCCCCGUACGGUUGGACACCAAGCCUCUGUAAAGCUCCUUCGACGAGUCGAGUAGUUUGGGAAUGCUGCUCUAAAUGGGAGGUAAAUUUCUUCUAAAGCUAAAUAUUGGCCAGAGACCGAUAGCGCACAAGUAGAGUGAUCGAAAGAUGAAAAGCACUUUGAAAAGAGGGUUAAAUAGCACGUGAAAUUGUUGAAAGGGAAGCGUUUGCGACCAGACCUCUUCCUGGCGGAUCAUCCGGUGUUCUCACCGGUGCACUUUGCCAGGUGGAGGCCAGCAUCGGUUUUCGUAGGGGGAUAAAAGCUUGGGGAACGUAGCUCCCUCGGGAGUGUUAUAGCCCCUCGCACAAUACCCUUACGGGGACCGAGGACCGCGCCUUCGGGCAAGGAUGCUGGCAUAAUGGUCGUCAACGACCCGUCUUGAAACACGGACCAAGGAGUCGAACAUUUGUGCGAGUGUUAGGGUGUCAAACCCUCACGCGUAAUGAAGGUGAACGGAGGUGAGAGCCCUUGCGGGUGCAUCAUCGACCGAUCCUGAUGUCUUCGGAUGGAUUUGAGUAAGAGCAUAACUGUUCGGACCCGAAAGAUGGUGAACUAUGCGUGGAUAGGGUGAAGCCAGAGGAAACUCUGGUGGAGGCUCGCAGCGGUUCUGACGUGCAAAUCGAUCGUCAAAUCUGCGCAUGGGGGCGAAAGACUUAUCGAACCAUCUAGUAGCUGGUUACCGCCGAAGUUUCCCUCAGGAUAGCAGUGUUGUUCUUCAGUUUUAUGAGGUAAAGCGAAUGAUUAGGGACUCGGGGGCGCUUUUUAGCCUUCAUCCAUUCUCAAACUUUAAAUAUGUAAGAAGCCCUUGUUACUUCAUUGAACGUGGGCAUUCGAAUGUACCAACACUAGUGGGCCAUUUUUGGUAAGCAGAACUGGCGAUGCGGGAUGAACCGAACGCGGGGUUAAGGUGCCGGAGUGGACGCUCAUCAGACACCACAAAAGGUGUUAGCACAUUUAGACAAUAGGACGGUGGCCAUGGAAGUCGGAAUCCGCUAAGGACUGUGUAACAACUCACCUAUCGAAUGUGCUAGCCCUGAAAAUGGAUGGCGCUCAAGCGUCCCACCCAUACCUCGCCCUCAGGGUAGAAACGAUGCCCUGAGGAGUAGGCGGCCGUGGGGGUCAGUGACGAAGCCUAGGGCGGAGCCCGGUC
rnacentral:rRNA from 1 species